AGAGUUUGAUCCUGGCUCAGGAUGAACGCUAGCGGCAGGCUUAACACAUGCAAGUCGAGGGGCAGCGGAUCGGGUAGCAAUACUUGAUGCCGGCGACCGGCGCACUGGUGAGUAACACGUAUGCGACCUGCCCUCCACAGGGGAAUAAUCCAGGGAAACUUGGUCUAAUACCCCAUAUGCUUUGCUUCUGCAUGGAGACAAAGUGAAAGAUCCGUCGGUGGAGGAUGGGCAUGCGGCGCAUUAGCUAGUUGGCGGGGUAACGGCCCACCAAGGCGACGAUGCGUAGGGGUUCUGAGAGGAAGGUCCCCCACACUGGUACUGAGACACGGACCAGACUCCUACGGGAGGCAGCAGUGAGGAAUAUUGGUCAAUGGGCGAGAGCCUGAACCAGCCAAGUCGCGUGAGGGAAGACGGUCCUACGGAUUGUAAACCUCUUUUGUCGGGGAGUAACAAGCGCCACGUGUGGUGCCAUGAGAGUACCCGACGAAAAAGCAUCGGCUAACUCCGUGCCAGCAGCCGCGGUAAUACGGAGGAUGCGAGCGUUAUCCGGAUUUAUUGGGUUUAAAGGGUGCGCAGGCGGCAUGGCAAGUCAGCGGUUAAAUCCCGAGGCUCAACCUCGGUUCGCCGUUGAAACUGCCGAGCUAGAGUAUGUGCGAGGAGAGCGGAAUGCGUGGUGUAGCGGUGAAAUGCAUAGAUAUCACGCAGAACGCCGAUUGCGAAGGCAGCCCUCCAGCACGUCACUGACGCUCAUGCACGAAAGCGUGGGUAUCGAACAGGAUUAGAUACCCUGGUAGUCCACGCGGUAAACGAUGAAUACUAGCUGUUCGGGCCGAUUGAGACUUGAGUGGCACAGCGAAAGCGUUAAGUAUUCCACCUGGGGAGUACGCCGGCAACGGUGAAACUCAAAGGAAUUGACGGGGGCCCGCACAAGCGGAGGAACAUGUGGUUUAAUUCGAUGAUACGCGAGGAACCUUACCCGGGCUCAAACGGUGGUGGACCGCUCUUGAAAGAGAGUUUCCCUUCGGGGCUGCCAUCGAGGUGCUGCAUGGUUGUCGUCAGCUCGUGCCGUGAGGUGUCGGCUUAAGUGCCAUAACGAGCGCAACCCCCAUCUUCAGUUGCCAUUGGGUUAAGCCGGGCACUCUGGAGAGACUGCCGGCGCAAGCUGUGAGGAGGGCGGGGAUGACGUCAAAUCAGCACGGCCCUUACGUCCGGGGCGACACACGUGUUACAAUGGCGGGGCACAGCGGGAAGCCAGGUGGCGACACCGAGCCGAUCCCGAAAACCCGUCUCAGUUCGGAUUGGAGUCUGCAACUCGACUCCAUGAAGCUGGAUUCGCUAGUAAUCGCGCAUCAGCCAUGGCGCGGUGAAUACGUUCCCGGGCCUUGCACACACCGCCCGUCAAG
rnacentral:rRNA from 1 species